CUCCAGCAAUGCAGCAAGAUCUUCCAGGGACUGGCCAGGCACAGGACAGGAGAUUGUCCAGUGGUUGGUUGAUGCAACAGUCGGGAACAGAUGACAGCGGAGUGCCGGAGCAGGCAGGAUCACAGUUGCAGACAAACUAUCUUGGGAUGUGGAAAGUGUAACCAGAGAGACAUGGAAAACUCAGAUAUAUA